rnacentral:rRNA from 1 species
GACGAACGCUGGCGGCGUGCUUAACACAUGCAAGUCGAACGGAAAGGCCCUGCUUUUGUGGGGUGCUCGAGUGGCGAACGGGUGAGUAACACGUGAGUAACCUGCCCUUGACUUUGGGAUAACUUCAUGAAACUGGGGCUAAUACCGGAUAGGAGCUCCUGCUGCAUGGUGGGGGUUGGAAAGUUUCGGCGGUUGGGGAUGGACUCGCGGCUUAUCAGCUUGUUGGUGGGGUAGUGGCUUACCAAGGCUUUGAAGGGUAGCCGGCCUGAGAGGGUGACCGGCCAAAUUGGGACUGAGAUACGGCCCAGACUCCUACGGGAGGCAGCAGUGGGGAAUAUUGCACAAUAGGCGGAAGCCUGAUGCAGCAACGCCGCGUGGGGGAUGACGGCCUUCGGGUUGUAAUCCGCUUUCGCCUGUGACGAAGCGUGAGUGACGGUAAUGGGUAAAGAAGCACCGGCUAACUACGUG